ACUUGAGCACGUGAAUGUGGAAGUAGACAACCGGAUCAGUGUAGAAGUAGCCAAGAGGAUUCAAGAAUAACUGGCUGCUAUCAUGACUGGAAUGCAACAGGGACAAGGUUCUUAAACAGUGGGAACAUUGAAGGAGAAGCUUGAAGCGAAGGCACUCAAUGUUUUGCUUUUUGGUUAUAUGUAAAUGCGUACAAUGACAAUGAAGUAUUACGUAGUAUAUAUGCGGAGGAACUUGAAGCUAAGGCACUCAA